GCAGAAGGGGAUAUCAGCACACCAUGGAAAUGGUUCUCAUCUGUGCUCCCUUCUAGAUGAGCAUGCUAGGAAGCCUUCUCCAGCAGCUGGGAUGGAAGGUGGUUUGGAGCCCUUGGGAUCUACUGCAGGUGUGUCUGCAAGGAGGAUUUCCCCAGGUUCUUUGCUGAUUGCUGCACCGAAACCCAGCUCCUAUCUCAGGGGUCCUCCGAGAGGAAGGAACAAACUUACAGGAAACACUAAGUCCCUGGAGGCGUCCAAACUUCUGGACAAGAUGCUGAGUGACCUAGAGAGACGCCG